CUAGCGAGAACUAGCAGGCGAGAACUUCAAGAUAGUGCGUGACUUCACCAUUUUGGUUGUUACUUCCCUAUUGGGAAGUCCAUUAAAAUCUUCGCCCUCGAAGUUAGAUACUGCUCCAUCUCAAGUUAUUGGUGCUGGGUCGGAAAUGGAUACCUGGAUGUGUUGCAAACGGAAUGAGAAAAUGAAUAUACCCCCAUCCUUCGGUGGCGGGUAUAAAAAUGAUAAUAAUUUGGCAUUCACGGAGGCAGGAGGACAAUGUUUUUGGUUUCUACCAUACGUUUACAUACCAGCCCACAACUGUAUGAUGGGGAACGGGGACCUAUCCAGAGUGGGGCUAUAUAUUGCCAACUGGACAAAAUUCGGAAGACUGCGCAGAAGAAGACUUGAGCAAGAUUAUUCAGCAUUCAAGACAUUGACUUUCCUCUUCGGGAAAAGAAUACAGCCCGAAAACGCUGAAUGACCGGGGAGAUUCGCAAUA